CCGGAUUGGCUGGGGUGCAGCGUCUAUGGCUAGCCGAUGGGGUAGGAGCUUUGUCCAGCUCAGAGCAAGGCGAGGCCCUCUCUCUGCGUCUGCAUGGUGGUGGCAGAAACGUGGUGGUAGCCAGGGAGGCAGGAUGGUCUCAAGGUCAUGUGCCGCCAGCAGGACUGGCAGGAUGUCUAAGGCAUAGGCUAGCAGAGAAACUGCAGUUCUCCAGUCACCGCAGGACUUUGGUGGGAAACACAUUGUGGAUUUAUGGCUAUUCCAAAUUUGAAGACCAACUUCUGCCAGGCUCAGCACAACUUCCCUGACAAAUGACCUUGGGGGCAGGCUCUAUGUGAGGUAUUCAACUGUGCCUCGAAGACCCUGGACACUGAGACUAUCCUCAAAAAUAACUGCAAGUAUACUUUCUUUAAUGACUCUGCUAAAAUCAAGCAUCAAGUAAACAAGAGUAGAAGGCAGCCACCACCAUUGCCUCACUCGUGUCUGAAUGUAGGCUCGGUGGGUAAAUUCGGUAUGUAGCUGGAUGGUUUGGAAAUUUGGAGGUAUCCAUCUGCAGACACUGAGGCCCAGGCUGAAUUCGAGCAAAUUCUAAAUACAUUUCUACCUAUCUUGGAGAAGCUUCAUACUGAAUAAACAAGCCCAGUAACAAAAAUAAAAAACAAUAAUAGACCUUUGGUUGAGCUUAAUGUUCUCAUUUUUCCAUUAGGCAGGCACGCACGUACACUCUGAUUUGCCAUAAUGAAUCAUGUAGCCCCAGUGGAGAUUUGCUAUAACAACAUGCGUUUUCUGAUAACUCACAACCCCACCAAUAAUACGAUGCACAAGUUCACAGAGGAACUCAAGAACUACGGAGUGUCAACCUUAGUCAGAGUUUGUGACGCCACAUAUGAUAAAACUCUAGUUGAAAACUGUGGCAUCCAUGUUCUAGAUCUGCCGUACAACGACGGAGCCCCGCCCCCUGAUGAGAUCGUGGAUAAUUGGCUAGGCCUGCUACAAAACAAGUUCCGUGAGGAGCCUGGUUCCUGUGUGGCAGUGCACUGUGUGGCUGGGCUAGGAAGGGCACCUGUGCUGGUGGCACUUGCUUUGAUUGAAUGUGGAAUGAAAAAUGAAGACGCAGUUCACUUUAUCCGGCAGAAACGAAGGGGUGCUUUCAACUCCAAACAGCUGCUUUUUUUGGAGCACUACCGGCCUAAGUUGAGGACCCGGUCACGGUCGCGUUUCAGGGAUUCUACUGUGCACUGCUGCAUCCAAUAGGAUCCGAGUUAAAGGCUUUCUCUACUAUGACGUUGUAAGGACACUCGUAUCUGUAAAGUGCAUCUGGAAUCUUUCCUGUUCAUCAAUGAGUGGUCAAUUCUACUAAUUGGUCCUAAAGCAAACAAUGGAAAAAUGCUUCUAUAAAAUGAGUUAAGAUAAAAAUUAGAAGGAAAAACUAACAUACCUUUCAGAGCAAGGACAAAGAAAAUCUGGACCCCUGACUCUCGCUCGCUCCUGCACGCUAAAAGCAUUCUUGAACACACUCUCAUCAUCUGCCGUGUUGUGACAGCACCAAGAGGCUUCACAGGAGGCUGGGAGUUCACAUAAUCUUGGGCUUUCAUUCUCACAACUAUCAUCAAAAUAAAUCUCUUGAUAAGUCACCUAGCCUUGGACAUUUUAUUAUAACAGGAAAAAAUAAAGCUGCUGCUU